UCGGGAAUUUUGGGCAAUGGGCGAAAGCCUGACCCAGCAACGCCGCGUGAAGGAUGAAGUAUUUCGGUAUGUAAACUUCGAAAGAAUAGGAAGAAUAAAUGACGGUACUAUUUAUAAGGUCCGGCUAACUACGUGCCAGCAGCCGCGGUAAUACGUAGGGACCAAGCGUUGUUCGGAUUUACUGGGCGUAAAGGGCGCGUAGGCGGCAUGACAAGUCACUUGUGAAAUCUCUGGGCUUAACCCAGAACGGCCAAGUGAUACUGUCGCGCUAGAGUGCAGAAGGGGCAAUCGGAAUUCUUGGUGUAGCGGUGAAAUGCGUAGAUAUCAAGAGGAACACCUGAGGUGAAGACGGGUUGCUGGGCUGACACUGAUGCUGAGGCGCGAAAGCCAGGGGAG
rnacentral:rRNA from 1 species